rnacentral:rRNA from 1 species
UACAGAGGGGGCAAGCGUUAUUCGGAAUUAUUGGGCGUAAAGGGCGCGUAGGCGGCCUGGCAAGUGGAAGGUGAAAUCCUUCGGCUUAACCGAGGAACUGCCCUCCAAACUGCUUGGCUUGAGUCCGGGAGAGGUGAGUGGAAUUCCCAGUGUAGCGGUGAAAUGCGUAGAUAUUGGGAGGAACACCAGUGGCGAAGGCGGCUCACUGGACCGGAACUGACGCUGAGGCGCGAAAGCGUGGGGAGCAAACGGG